ACAAAAACAAAUGUAUUCUCUACCAGAUCAAAAAAUCUAAGGAACCUAGUCAACAACAACACUCUUUCUAACCAUGUGUCCUUCCAAAACAGAGUGGAAGAGCCACCACCCACCAGCCUAAAGGAAAAUCGAAUUCAAAACAGAAUAAGCAGCAGGUAAAAUUUUUCGAUUUUCUUUCCUUAGAUCAUUACGAAUUACACAUGAAUCAGUGAUUCGAUUGUUACCUCGAAGUGUGAAAUCUGAUAGUUGGAAACUGAAAACUGGAAUCACGAUCACAGUAAAGCAAGCAGUAAGCAGCAAAGCCUCUAGCAAGUCCACACGAACAGUGUUCCUCAAAAACUCGGUGCUAGUCAAGGAAUCAGAAGUUUCAGAGAGCUAGGGUUUCUCCAAAAACGUGCAAUCUCAAACUUCAGCAUUAGGGUUCUAUUUAUAGAACUCCUUGUGUGCUCUGCAAGUCAGAAGUCACAAUUGGGUUUCAGUAAGCCCAAUAACGUGUUUAGUAAUUCUGAUAACUAAUUAGCGUUGUUUACUAAACGCACCCCUUAUAUAAGUCAUACUUAUAUAUUUCUCUUUAGACUGUUCU
rnacentral:lncRNA from 1 species